GAACGCUAGCGGCAGGCUUAACACAUGCAAGUCGAGGGCAGCAUGAGACGGAGAUUCGUCGAAGUCUUGAUGGCGGCCGGCGCAAGGGUGCGUAACGCGUGAGCAACUUGCCCGUUUCAGGGGGAUAACCCGGUGGAAACGCCGACUAAUACCCCAUAGUAUUGAGUUCAGGCAUCUUUACUCAAUUAAAGAAUUUCGGAAACGGAUAGGCUCGCGUGACAUUAGCUAGAUGGCGGGGUAACGGCCCACCAUGGCUACGAUGUCUAGGGGUUCUGAGAGGAAGGUCCCCCACACUGGAACUGAGACACGGUCCAGACUCCUACGGGAGGCAGCAGUGAGGAAUAUUGGUCAAUGGUCUGACGACUGAACCAGCCAUGCCGCGUGAAGGUCACGGCCCUAUGGGUCUUAAACUUCUUUUGUAAGGGAGCAAUAAGUCUCACGUGUGGGAUGAUGAGAGUACCUUACGAAUAAGCAUCGGCUAACUCCGUG
rnacentral:rRNA from 1 species